UUCUUCUCUGAAUGUAUUCUGCGAUGGUACUGCACUACUAAUUUGUUUACUUUGGGCUGUCUGUUGAAAACUAUUAAAAUGCCUUCAAAAAUUACAAAGCUCCGAAGGAUGCACCUUCCAUCCUUUCAAAAGUGUGCUCAGUGUUUGAAGGUGUAUAUUUUUCUAGCAUUAAUAGGUGUAAUCAUGCAAUGUUCUAUACCAGUGAAUCAGUCACUUUGAGGAGCAUUCUGGGGGACAUCUGAGAUAAUGUCAAGUUGCAUCCUGGAACAUAAAAUGGAUUUGUGUUUGGCACGAGUUUAAUUUUUAUUUCAGGUUCGAAGUCAAGACACAACAAUGAUUUGUUGAAUGGGAAGAAUUUUUGGAACUGGAUGUUGUCUAAGCGUCUGUAAAAUUUAGAAGAACAUUCAGUAAUUGUAAUGGACAAUGUUCUUUAUCAUUAUGUUGUUCUGGAGGAACCUCCAACACAUAGCUGGAGAGACGAUGAAAUAACUACUUGGCUGCAAGAGAAGAUAAUUUCGUUUGGAAAAAGAGCUCUCGAAGCUGAAUUACUUAAUCUCACACUGUCAACAUAUCCUCAAGUAAGAGCAGGUUGGGAGGAUAGGACGUGGUUGUGGAGUACAUGGGGAAAAGAGGGAAGCGUGCAAGAAUAAUUUUACUGUGAUAUAUGUCAGCGAAAGAUUCUUUAUAGUCUCAGAGUGACACUUGUGCCUGAUGGAAAUUUACCAUCUCUGUCUGUUUAACUUGUAACCUGUAUGUGCAUUGAAACACAGGCUACAAGUCGGAAUAGACGAAGAAAACAAUGCUGUGUUUAUGACAAUUGUACUGCCCUAAAUUCAUCUUCCAUUGCUAUAAAUUUAUUAUUUGUUAAAUUAUUUAUGUAUGUAAUACGUUAAAUAGUUGUAACUGAAAGGGGAGGAAUACAAUUUAUAUAUUGUAUCACCUUUCAAAUUAAAAUAAAUUAAUUGUUGGGUUUAAUUAUGAGUUGCGAUCCACCAGCCACGAAAUGGGCAUGUGAAUAUUGCACCUUUGAGAACUGGCCAUCAUCUCUAAAGUGCACAAUGUGUCGAGGUUCAAAACCAUUACUUGGUGAAGAUAUCUAUAGAUUAUGUGAUGAAUCACCUCCUCUGUCACUGAUUGCGGGUUCUGGUGGACCUAAUUUGGCAUCAGGUCCCUCUCAAGAAGAUACUUCAAGGUCAGGAAGUAAUGGAAAAUGGAAAUGUCGAGCAUGCACAUACCUGAACUGGCCACGUGCAUCACAGUGCACAGAAUGUCAAACGCCAAAACCUGCUACUGUUACUGGUACAAAUCUCCAUGAACAUCUACAGCCGCUUCGGAUUGGUCAGCUGAGUGAUACUGAAACGCUAACAACAGCUUCAGGUGGUCCAUUGCACAUCACUACAUCACCAUCUGCAGAUAAAAACAAUUUGAAAGAUGCUGAGAAUGAUCUGAGGGGACGUAUAGUAGAGAAAGCUGUCAUUGCGAGACAGCAGACUAUAAAAUGGAUGUGCACUGUGUGCACAUAUGAGAACUGGCCAAAAGCCACCAAGUGUAUAAUGUGUAGUACUCUUUGUGCAAACAUCAAUGCAGCAGCUUCCACUGCAAAGAACAAUGCAGCUUCUUUUUUUCGUGGCCAGGCAGUUAGCAGUGGCAGCAUACUUCCCUCCCCUGAACGAGAGAUGUCACUCCUGAAUAGUGCUCGAGGUGGUGGGAGCCAAGUGGCUCUCAUCGAUGACAGUUCUGCUGUAAAGAGCUGGCCAAAUUCACGACGCUUAGAGCGAAACCAGGCAUCAAGUGACAUGCCUACUCCAGCCAAUUCUCCCAACAAUUGUGAAUAUGAGCGACGUCUGAAGCAGAUCAGGCAACGGAUGCGUGAAGCUGAUUGGAACUGGCUAAAUGCUUGUCUGGGUGUUGUGGAUGGUGAUCCUAAUCCUGUGGAGGCAUACCUAUCAUCAGGUGGUGAUCCAGCUCGGCAGCUCACUCCUAAUGAAGUCACACUUCUUAACCGCCCAUCUGCAUUUGACUCUGGCCACACACUGGUCCAUUUGGCUAUUAGGUUCCAUCGUGAGGAUAUGCUGGCGACUUUGUUGUCACAGAUUGAAGGUUCUGGUUCAGGUGUGAAGAGGGUUCCUUCAUAUGUAGCUCCAGACCUAGCAGCAGACAUCCGGCGGCACAUGGCAUCAACUCUACGGCAACGCAAAGGCUCCUUCCCCUGCCACUUCGUUACUGAGCUCACAACAUUUGCUUUGCCUGCAGAAGUGGAGGACCUGCCACCUCCAGUGCAGGAGCAGUUAUUUGAAGAGCUAUUGGACAAAGAUGCUCAGCAGCAGCUAGAGUCAGAGCCGCCAGUGCUAAACUGGUCACUGGAGGUGACAGUACGACUUGGCUCCAGACUCUAUGCAUUAUGGAACCGGUCAGCUGGUGAUUGUCUACUGGACUCGGCCAUGCAAGCGACCUGGGGAGUGUUUGACCGUGACAAUACACUGAGGAGGGCUCUUGCCGAAAGCUUACAUCAAGGUGGACACGUGUUUUAUCCUCGCUGGAAGGAGUAUGAGGCCAGUCAAGCUCAGUUGCUUGAAUUCAGUCUUGAGGAGGGACAGUGGGAGGAGGACUGGGCUGGACUUCUGUCUCUUGCCAGUCAGCCAGGUUCCAGUCUGGAACAGCUUCAUGUGUUUGCCCUUGCACACAUUCUGCGUCGACCCAUUAUAGUUUAUGGGGUCAAGUAUGUGAAGAGCUUCCGUGGAGAGGCUAUAGGCUAUGCCAGAUUUGAAGGUGUUUAUUUGCCAUUACUCUGGGAGCAAAGUUUCUGUGUACGGUCACCCCUGGCACUAGGUUAUACCCGAGGCCAUUUCUCUGCUCUGGUUCCUAUGGAACCAUACAGUAGGUUGGAGGGAAGCAGUUCAGGUGGAGCAAACAAUUUGGGUCCAGAUGAGCUCCAGGUCACAUUCUUGCCACUCAUGGACCGAGAUCGCAAACUUCUGCCUGUACACUUCCUCAUGCAAGCUGAGCUGGGAAGGGAAGAAAGUAUUCUCCGGCAAUGGCUAGACGUUUGUGUUACUGAGGGAGGUGUCCUGGUAGCACAACAGAGACUUCACAAACGGCCACUCCUUGUUGCUCAGAUGGUCGAAGAGUGGUUAAACCACUAUCGUAGGCUUGCGCAGAUGACAAAUGCCCCAUUUACCCGCCCAGUACCAGUCCAGGAUUAUUCCAGUGAUGGGGGAGACACGGACGAUGAAUAGCAAAUUCUACAAUCUUCCUUAUCACCCGAGAAUACAAGAAACAAAUCUAAUUCUGAGGAGAAGAAAAUUUCAGAACCCUUUUCACCACUUCACCUGUGUUUGCCAUAAAAGUAGAAGUAUACCAUCAUUGAAGGUUUGUUACAAUUUUACAGUAAAGUAUGAAAAAAGUUUUUGUGUCUAAACAGUGAAAUUCUUAUUUUUUAUUCCUUUUAAUGUCUGCAAUUUGACCUGUGACGAACAGAUUUAUUUCUGAUAUUUCAACAUAUAAUUGAUUUUUAGUUAAGUGUUUAAAAAAUAUAACAAUUGUUAGUAGGGUUGCCAACUUGUUUUAAGUGGAAGAAAUUAAUCAAUCUUGUCCUUGGUAUUAUGGAAUAUUGGUGUCAGUUUAUAAUAUAAAUGUUCACAAUUUGAUAAUUAUGUUUAUUAUGUAAUUUAAAUACCAAGCUUUUCAUUACAGUGCAACUUUUCCUUCUACCAUUUUGAAAACAUUACUAGGCUUUAGUUGUUUGCUUUAAAUCUUUGUAGUCUUACCAAUGGAAGUAAUCCUGCAUAGAGUAGAACAAUUUAGAAUUUGUCCAGGAGUUAAACUUCAUUUAAAAUUAAAUAUUAAUAUGCUGUAGAGAGGUUGAAAAAUAUUGCCUACCAACACAAACAGAUAAUUGAUAUUGUUUUAAAGUGAUAUGUGGGUAGGAGUACUGUGUAUAUCAAAAAAGAAAAAGUAUAUUUUCAGUUUGCUAUCUGUAAAGUUAUUCUGAUUACCUUACUAUAGCUUGUUGCAUAAAGUAGUCACAUUGAACCAUCAGUUUAAUUUCUUGUCAUUUAAUUUAAUUGCAGUAUUCCCUGACAGUGCAACUGUUAAUUUAAAUGUACUCAAAGUUUUGUGUUCAUUAUGUUAGGAUCAGUAGCAGCUACUGUUCACUGUUUUCUGUUUCAUUUUUAAUAACAUUGGGUUACUGUAAGGAUGAAUUCAAAUAUGUGGCAUAAUUAGAGCCUUUUUUCUAAUCCUUAUUCUGCUUCAACUUUCUUGGAUUAGAUCCUUUGAUAUUAUUUUCAUGCAGGUACUAAAUUUGAUUAUUUUGUUUGUCCUCUUUUAUGAAUUUGUAGUGUACACUAUUGAGAAUUCUGUUUGAUAUUGUUAGGUCUUGAUGAUAGAUGUUAUUAAAGGACAUGUGCAGUUUGUUGCUGGUGCUAUGGAAUUUCCUUGCAAAGAGGCAGUUAAUUUGCCACUUAGAUCAGAGUGCUGUCUGUUCUGUAUAGUGAUAGGUUUACGUAAUAGUUGGGCACUAUUUUUCAUCCACUCAUAUUCGGCAUUACUCAUAAACAGUUGUACUUCAUAGCCAACAAAUUUUCUAGGAGUAUGUGACUUACAUAUAAGAUGGAAAAAUCUGAAUUAUCUCCUGUUUAAAUCUUAUGAAAAUUUGAGGGUAGUUGGCAACCCUGUUUUAGGUUGACUACAAAGAAAUGUCCUGGAGGAAAACAUCAACACGAAAAUAAGGCAAGAAGGGAUAGUCACUGGAGAAUAGGCUAUUGCUGCAGUUGAUUGCAGUGUGUUGCAGUUCUGCUUGUGAUGUGAUAUGUACUGAAAUUAAGAUAAUUUGAUCAUUUGAUCCCUGCAUUCUCAGCAUGAGUGUGUGACACUUUGUUCCAACCAAAGACAGCUGUUCUGUUGAGUAAACGUGGACUUUUCCUAAACUUAGAUGAAUUGGUUGUAAAGUUCUGUGAUUCUUUUCUGGAAAUAUCUGUGUUAUUUUCCAACGUGUUUUGGUAGAUUACUUUAACAUGGGUACAACUGCUUUUUGCUAAGUCCGUUUAUACUUAGUUUUAUACCUUACAGCACUUUCACAAAUCUUCCAGCAAAACCAAAGAAUGUUUAAUAGGGUAACUACAUAUCAUAUGGUAAGCUAGUACAGUUCUGAGCUUGUGUUAAGUGUCCCUGUAAGUUUUUGAGAUGAAAAGUUGUCACAGAUAUUAAAUUAUAGAAACUGUGUCAUUAUGGUGGUGCUUAUUAGAAGAAUUAAAUUUGAGUGUCUGAAAAUUUAAAAAUUUGAAGUUUUGAAAGUAUGUGUUCAAUAUUUAGAUAAUUAAAAGUCACUUUUCAUUUCUGGCUCCAGUAAAUUAGGUGAAAGUACACACAAAGACUGAAUUUAGAAUUAUGCACAUGGAAUAAUUUGUUAUCCAUAUCUGUCUUAACAAAGAUCAAAGUCCAUCUCUUCAUUUCUAUAGGGCUCAGCAAUUGACUCCAUCAGUGGAAAAUUAAAAUAUUUAUACACUGAUGUGGAAUGAAAAAUGUCAAAAGUUAUUAGUUUUAAAGUGUUAGUAUCUCCAGUUGUAAAAUAUGUGCAAUAUAACAUAAACUACAAUUAUGGAUCAACAUAAAUUAAGCUUGAGAACCACUUCUUUCUUAACUUUAUAUUGUUGGUUACGUUGUACUGGACAAUUUCUGUCUCUAAACUUUUUGUGAUACAUAAGUAGUUGUUUUCCAAGAAAAUGAUUACAGUUUCUCUUCAUAUCUGGAAUUUAUUUUUAUAUUACUUACCCGUUGUCUGCUCCCAGCAGUGCUGCAAUGAAAUCUGUUCACAAGACAGCAGCCUUGAAUAAGUUUUGUUUUUGACUUGGAAGUCUAGCACAUUGUAUAUGAUUUACGUAAGCACUAAAUUCACACAGCUGGUUCAUACCAUCAGACUGACUACCAUAUAUUGACCAGUAAUAUUUAAAUGACCUGAAGACAUGCCAGAGUGACUUUUAUGAAAAAGCCAAAGGAACUAUCUGAGCACCAAGUGUAAUCGGUCCCCAAUAGGUGUCAGAAGCUUACAGCAAGAAAAGAAAAGAUUUGCUUGCUGUAUAUGUAAACUGUAUAGAUCACAGAAAGUAGAAAAUGUACAUGUACAUUCUUACUCUUGGAGCGUUGUAAUGCUGAACAUACCAGUAUAUUCAUAAUUGUCAGAGGUUUAAUAAAACAUCAAGUAUAAUUGUUUUUAUAAUGCAUACUUACCUGCAUAUGAUAAUGUCCUCACUUCUUUUUCCAUUUUUUGAACACUUUUAUAUGUUUUCCAUUUCAUACUUUUUCCAGUUAGCAGGAAAAGAUAUGUUCUAUCCCACUUCCAGAGCACUCACUCUGAUACAUCAUCUCAUAGUCUCCUGUCUUUCAUUGCUGCUUGUGUUUCUUCAGAAAGGCUUGUGAUGAUAGUCUCGUAUAGGUUAGGUUCAAAGUUGGAAAUGGCCAGGGUACAUAGUUGAGCCACUCAUGCUUUAAGCUAUAGCAGGGACCAAGUGAUGUUAGUACAUGAUCAAACCAUGAUGGGACCAAGUUCUGCACUCUGUAAUAUUCCCUUUUAUAUACUUGUGUGAUAAUAUUAAGUUUAUUAUCAGGCAGAUAAAAAAGCAUAAAAUUUUCUUCUCUUGAGAAGCUGAGUUAUCCAGUGAAAGACUCUCACCAUGGAAAGAACUUAUCCAUGUGUUACUGGAAUGUUGGGUGAGGCUUCAGUUUCUCACAACAGGGAGUACAAAGAUGAAUGAUGAUGUCUUCUGGGAUGUUGUGCUAUGUAAUCUUAUAGAAACAGACUGAUGUUUUAGAGGUUCUUACUGCCCCAGUCACUGCAGGUGGUAAGCACCUUUGAAAUUCCAAUUUCUAUGAGGCUGCACAGAAGACAUUCAUGUUUGUACUGGAAUAUUGUUUGUACACAUGGUUUGACUAACUUUAGCUUUUAAUCUUUGUUUCAUUUUUAGUUUCUUCAUUGUGACAGAAUUUUAUCAGAUUGUUCCUGUGUUUUUGAUCUUACAAUGCUAAAAAUGGAGAACAAUUUCAGAAUUUGAUAUUUGUGAAGAGCACUGCAGGCCUUCAUAAUUGAAGAUAUAAUUUUGAGGAAAUUUAUGUAAUUUUUUUAAGGGUACUGAGCUGAAAGAACUGUAAGUAUCGAUCAGAUUGAUGUAAUGUCUACUACAAACAGAAAUGACACUUGUGGACAAUGAGAUUGAACUUUUCUGCAUAGUGUGAAGUGAAAAGGAGCAGUCAUUUGUAGUGUACAUAUUGAGAAUAAUUCAUUAUGAUAAACAGAUGAACAUGAGAAAAAACUGUAUGAUAGUAUCAAUAUGAAAUUCUUUUUAUCCUCUGAUACAAAUAUUAACAUAUGUUUUAUCUUGUUUCCAAUUUUUUGUGUGAUUAUCAUGUUCUCUGUAUUGCAGGCUUGUAUUAUAAAUGCUGCUAAUAAUUUUGGAUUAAUUUUGGACAGUAACUUAACAAACAUUAUAAAUGACACAGAUGUAUAAUAUAAUAUUGUUAUGGGGAUUAAGUUAAUGAGGAUAAGAUACAUAGGAUUUGUAACAGUGGGAGAAAUCAGAAAUGCAUAUGCAUUUUGACUGGUAAACCUCAAGACGUAGUGCUUAGUCUGUCGUCAUGGUUGAAGUUAUGGUGUUGUUUUGAUGUUUCCCUUAUGCUGUAGGACUCAUAGGUCUGGAUCUUGGCCUAGCCUUCUGUUCUUUUAAAGUCUAAUUGAGAUGUGAAUGAAUGCCUAUUUUUCCAGUGUACACCUUACCACAGAAUAUAAUUUGCUCCUAUGGUAAGGUAUAUAUCAAACAAUGGGGUUUCAUAUCUCCAUUAAAAUUUUGGAACAAUCAUAGACGCCAGACUGGAGAACCACGGGCUUUUUCUCUUUUCCUCCACUAAUUCUACUUAACUGCCUUUCCCAUUGAACACUUGCUGAAUUCAUCCAUCCUUCUGAAACUUUUUCCUCUUUCACUGUCUUUAUAUUUUCCUUUCUCACUUCUGAGUCCCCACCUCUUUUCCUGAACUACAUGCUUGCUCCCCCAUGGAUUGACAACCUUUAUCCUUUUAUCACCUUUGUGUCCUACUUUCUAACUUAUUUUCCUUCUCUGUCUUCCUGAACCACACGCUUGCUCCCAGUUAGACAGCACAACCGUCUGCUUACAUAAUCACAUCACUCACUUCCCACAGAAUGCCUACUGCCAGAUCUUUACAGGGGCUCCCUAAUCCUUGCUGAAGACAGUAAUUGCUGUGUAUGCUAAAAUGUUCUACAAGUGAUACUGCUUAUCUUCAAAAACUGAAUUUAUGCUGAAUUCUUUUUCCUUCCAGUUUUACAAUUUAUUCUCAUAUUCAGUCUUGACACCUCUCAACUAGCAAGAGCUGGGACAGUGUAUGCUUUCCCUCUGUCUGUACCAUAAAUCUCAGGAUCUUUUCAAAUAUUUUGUUUUUAAUAUUAUUAUAAUUAAAAGGUGGAGAUGCAGGUUAGGAAACUGGGCUUGACUUGGAAUUAAGCGUACUUUCCGUCCAGUGAAAUUCUGUAUUCUGUCUGCGUUUGGGACAGCUUAUCUUCAUUUAAUUUAUGAAGCUGUCUUUAAAUGUUAUUACUAUUGAUCAUUGACUAUGUCUUCUGUUUGAGGAUUGAGCAUGUUUGGAUGUUCAGAUUUAUAGAUUAUCAAACAUCAUUUAAAACAGAUACUGUAUUUAUCUGCAAGAAAAUUGUCUUCUCAUGCUGUCCUCUCCCUCAAGUUUCUGAAUCAUCAAUCACUAUUUAAAGUGUUUAUUUUAUUUCUGAAAUAACCUACACAGUUCUGACUAUCUCACCUACUCAUGGUCUGAUUUUCUACCACUAUCUGUACUGAUAACUUAUGAAUCUUGUAUAUUUUAGUGACAAACAUAUGUCCUAGUGAAGAAUUUUGCUUUGUUCAACGUUAUGAGACAAUUUCAUAUUUUUCAGAUACUAAAUUUAAAAAAUCCCCAUCUUAUACUCAGGUAAAUAUUUUAUUAGAGCAGUGAUAAUCUGAACUAUGUGGACAGAACCUUUAUUAUAUUAUUAAUUUGUUCAGGUAAUUAAGAAUGAAAUUUAAUAAUAAAUUAAUGAGCUGUACAUGCGUGUUGUAUUUUUUCCAAUGUGUACACACAUAUUAUAAUGUAAUAUAGUGAAUAAGAAUCAAUAUAUUUGUAAUAUAAAGUUAAAAAUAACAGUUUUGUUUACAAGACAGAAUUAUGUUUGGAUAUUUCAAAUGCUUGGCAUAUGGAUAAUCAAGGCUCUACUAUAACUUGUAGUUAUUGCAUGUAAGCAGAAGUUUUGGAUAUUGCAGCUGUUGCUCCUGUGAUUGAAUCAAUAAAUCUGAAAAGCCAUAAUUUCUUUAGUAAAACUUGCCAGAAUGGCACUCGGGAUUAUCUCUGUGAAAAGCAUUGGAGUGUGAUUUUUUAUCUGUUGUAUGACAACAAUUAUUUUACAAUAUGUUGGUUUAAUAACUGUUAAUUUUGUUUAGCCCCAAGGUACUAUACAUAUACAACUGAGAAAAUCUGUCUCAGUUAUUUUAUUUGUCAGAGCAGACUAUAACUGUUUUCUCAGGCUUCUUUUGAACUGCAGAUAUCAAUCUUCUGUCAGAACUUAGAAUUCUGGGUGUAAUGAAUGUAGCUGGAAAGAUUUGUAGAACAUUUUAAGAGUUCUGGAACUUCCUUCUUCCAGAACAGAAUUCUUAUACCAUAUUUUUAGUUGUUUCAAGUGGAAAAUACUAGGUUAUUGUAUGGAUAAGGGAGGUAGCAAGUUUUUUUAUGUGGGUAGUUUUGAUGACUUUGGUAUGAUUUUAUAUGCAGUAAUGUUGAUUCAGCAUUUCUCAACUACCUUUGUAUAAGAUGCAUGAAUUUCUAUACAAAGAAAAGUAUUUUCAACUGAGAAAGGUAUUGACCAUUACAAAAUCUUUUAUCAUUUCAUUAUGUGGAGUAAAACAAAUACCUUAUAAGUAAACUAUGACUGCGUCAAUUGGAAAUGCUUAAUUUAAUUUUCUUUAAAUUGGUAUUAAGAAACCUUUAAUAAAAAACCUGGUGGGUUUGUAUCACAUUAUAAUUCAGAUUAUUAUAUUAAAUUAUUUUAAAUUACUUACUGUGUGUACUACAUGUUUUAUUGUAUAUAUGUUCUUAGGGAUUAGAACACAUACAACUUUGCUAUGUAGCAGAUAAUCACAAUGGUUUCUAAUUAAUGUUUUGGCGUCAGCCUGUAGAUGGCCACAAAUGACUGAAAUGUUGCUAUAAUGCAUACAUUAAGUGGAGAAUAAAUGCAUUUUUAAUGAUCUGUGUAAGCUUGUGUGACAGUAAUAUUAAGUUGAACAAACUACACCUUGAUGUGUAUCUACAGGCUAAUCUAGGUAUGGUGGUAAAGGGAAAAAUUGUCACAAUGUGUACCACCCCAUCAGUUAGAGUCAUUUACUAACUGAUAUGUCAUGUGUACUGCCACGGUGGUCUAGCUGCUUCCCCGGUUUCUCUGUGGCAUCCCAACAAUUACUUCACAUUCAUCAUCAUUUACAUACAGAAGAAGGCAAUGGCAAACCACUUCUGAAUCAUAUUUGCCGAGGAAACGGACCUGUCGUCAGACAGAACACUAAUAAUAAAUAAUGUCAUGUGUCCAUUUAAAAUUACAAAUUAAAAUUUCAAGUGAAACUUUUUUAUUUAAAAGUUAAAUAUUCUGCUAUCUCUACUAUCACUAUGGGCGAAUGGAAGUUCUGUUAUAUGUAUAUUUUGCCACAUUUAAAUUCCAGUAAAUCACCAAAAAUUUCUAGAACUUUUGAAAUGCUACACGUAACAUGACAGACAUUCAGACUUUCUGGGAGCAUAGUUUCACUGAGUGCUUGAUUCUGAUGUUUGUGUAGUUGUAAGAAUUGAAAAUUGUGUUGUUUUUGUCAAAUAGAUUAAAAAUACAUUAUUACAGUGGCUGUGGAAAAUGUAUCAGAUUGUUUCAUAGUUUUUUGACACCGCAUUAAAUCAUCGUGUAUAGAAGCAUGAAAUUUGAUAUUAUAAUUAAUAUAUUAUAAAUAUAUAUGAAUUUUGCAUCAUUUGGUUUUUUAGAAAUGCCCAUAUGAUAAUAACAUAAACCUUUAGUGUUUGAUUUGCAAAAAAUAAAGCAUAAUAGUGAGGAUUACACUGGUGGUGGGAUUUUGUGAACAUGGUGAUGAUCCUUUGGGCUCCAUAAAGAAAGUGGGCUAUUCUUUGACAAGCCGAGUAUACAGUCGAUUUUUCAAAGAAUUUCCUUCACUGUACAGUGAGUGAGUAAGGCUUAAAAGGUUGCAAGGUGUAGUUGUUACUAAAAAAAAGUAGGUAACUAUAUUUCUUCUCAGACUUUCUUGUUAUGUUGGUGUAUGCAUUGGUGAAGUAUGAGAAAUGCUGAAGCAAAGCUCCUUACUUGGCACGCAAGAGAACUUGUGGCUAGGUUAUAAAGAUAUAAUUGAAGUGUUAUUUAAUGUGUUUGAAGAAACAUGUACAAACUUUCUUGCAUGUGUUCGCUAUUCUGUUUAAAAUGCUGAAAUUCUUACAUUUUUGGAUUAUCAUACUUGAACUAAAAUUGUUUUUAUUUCAGGUAUGUUUUUUAAGAGCUGCCAGUAUUGAAAUUCAUAAAAAUUUACUGACUAAAUGAGAGUUUUUUAUGUAUGGUGUAGACAUAGUCACAAGUAGGCACAUUAUGCUUAAGUCCACUUUAAUAUAAAGAAAGUGUAAUGUUUGUUGUAUUAAUUAAAAACUGCAUCUUUUGUU